GGGAAUUCGAUUAGAGUUUGAUCAUGGCUCAGAACGUACGCUGGCGGCACGCCUUAUACAUGCAAGUCGAACGAAGUAGCAAUACUUAGUGGCAGACGGGUGAGUAACAUGUGGGUAUCUUCCCUUUGGUGAGGAAUAACACGAGGAAACUUGUGCUAAUACCUCAUAAGUCUUUACGGAGAAAGCUUUAUGCGCCAAUGGAUGAGCCCGCACUUGAUUAGUUUGUUGGUGGGGUAAUGGCCUACCAAGACUGUGAUCAAUAGCUGAUUUGAGAGGAUGAUCAGCCACAUUGGGACUGAGACACGGCCCAAACUCCUACGGGAGGCAGCAGUAAGGAAUCUUGCACAAUGGAGGAAACUCUGAUGCAGCGAUGCCGCGUGAGUGAAGAAGGCCUUUGGGUUGUAAAGCCCUUUCGUCGGGGAAGAAAAUGACUGUACCCGAAUAAGAAGGUCCGGCUAACUUCGUGCCAGCAGCCGCGGUAAUACGAAGGGACCUAGCGUAGUUCGGAAUUACUGGGCUUAAAGAGUUCGUAGGUGGUUAAAAAAGUUGGUAGUGAAAUCCCAGAGCUUAACUCUGGAACUGCUAUCAAAACUUUUUAGCUAGAGUAUGAUAGAGGAAAGCAGAAUUUCUAGUGUAGAGGUGAAAUUCGUAGAUAUUAGAAAGAAUACCAAUUGCGAAGGCAGCUUUCUGGAUCAUUACUGACGCUGAGGAACGAAAGCAUGGGUAGCGAAGAGGAUUAGAUACCCUCGUAGUCCAUGCUGUAAACGAUGUGUGUUAGACGUUGGAAAUUUAUUUUCAGUGUCGCAGCGAAAGCGAUAAACACACCGCCUGGGGAGUACGACCGCAAGGUUAAAACUCAAAUGAAUUGACGGGGACCCGCACAAGUAGUGGAGCAUGUGGUUUAAUUCGAAGAUACGCGCAGAACCUUACCAACACUUGACAUGUUCGUCGCGACUUUAAGAGAUUAAAGUUUUCGGUUCGGCCGGACGAAACACAGGUGCUGCAUGGCUGUCGUCAGCUCGUGUCGUGAGAUGUUGGGUUAAGUCCCGCAACGAGCGCAACCCUCACUUUUAGUUGCCAUCAUUAAGUUGGGCACUCUGAAAGAACUGCCAGUGAUAAGCUGGAGGAAGGUGGGGAUGACGUCAAGUCCUCAUGGCCCUUACGUGUUGGGCUACACACGUGCUACAAUGGCAUUUACAAUAGGAAGCAAGAUGGCGACAUCAAGCAAAUCCUAAAAAGAUGCCUCAGUUCGGAUUGCACUCUGCAACUCGAGUGCAUGAAGCUGGAAUUACUAGUAAUCGCGGAUCAGCGCGCCGCGGUGAAUACGUUCCC
rnacentral:rRNA from 1 species